GCCCAGACUCCUACGGGAGGCAGCAGUGGGGAAUAUUGCACAAUGGGGGAAACCCUGAUGCAGCGACGCCGCGUGAGCGAUGAAGUAUUUCGGUACGUAAAGCUCUAUCAGCAGGGAAGAAAAUGACGGUACCUGACUAAGAAGCCCCGGCUAACUACGUGCCAGCAGCCGCGGUAAUACGUAGGGGGCAAGCGUUAUCCGGAUUUACUGGGUGUAAAGGGAGCGUAGACGGUUAAGCAAGUCUGGAGUGAAAGGCGGGGGCCCAACCCCCGGACUGCUCUGGAAACUGUGUAACUAGAGUGCAGGAGAGGUAAGCGGAAUUCCUAGUGUAGCGGUGAAAUGCGUAGAUAUUAGGAGGAACACCAGUGGCGAAGGCGGCCUGCUGGACUGUAACUGACGUUGAGGCUCGAAAGCGUGGGGAGCAAACAGGAUUAGAUACCCUAGUAUA
rnacentral:rRNA from 1 species